UAUAGGGAAUAGGAUGCCAUUUGGGAUGCCAGCUGACAGAGAAAACAUUAAAGAGAAACUCAGUUGAUGAGGAGCUCACAGAAGCCUGAACACCGAGGAAGACAAGCAGCAACCAUUUUUAGGGAAUACCAAAACAGCAAUGGAACUUUGGGUGUUUCUCAUCAUAAUUUUCUCAGUAAUAGGCAGCCUGUGCUCUGUAACAAGCACAACAACAGAUCCUAAUAUGACAACCACAACUGAAGCUCCUACUACAGCAACAACUGCAGCUCCUACUACAACAACCACAGAUCCUUCUACAACUACAACUGCAGCUCCUACUACAACAACCACAGAUCCUUCUACAACCACAACUGUAGCUCCUACUCCAACAACCACACUUCCUGCUAUGACAACUACAACCCCAGCUCCUACUACAACAACUGCAGCUCCUAGUACAACACCAACUGCAGCUCCUAGCACAACAACAACUGAAGCUCCUAGUACAACAACCACUGCAACUACUACUACGACAACAACUGCAGCUCCUACUACGACAACAACUGCAGCUCCUAGUACAACAACAACUGCAGCUCCUAGUACAACAACUGCAGC